rnacentral:rRNA from 1 species
GAGUUUGAUCUUGGACUCAGAUUGAACGCUGGCGGCAUGCCUUACACAUGCAAGUCGAACGGCAGCACGGGAGCUUGCUCCUGGUGGCGAGUGGCGAACGGGUGAGUAAUGCAUCGGAACGUAUCCUGGAGUGGGGGAUAACGUAGCGAAAGUUACGCUAAUACCGCAUAUUCUGUGAGCAGGAAAGCGGGGGACCUUCGGGCCUCGCGCUCUUGGAGCGGCCGAUGUCGGAUUAGCUAGUUGGUGAGGUAAAGGCUCACCAAGGCGACGAUCCGUAGCAGGUCUGAGAGGAUGAUCUGCCACACUGGAACUGAGACACGGUCCAGACUCCUACGGGAGGCAGCAGUGGGAAUUUUGGACAAUGGGGGCAACCCUGAUCCAGCCAUGCCGCGUGAGUGAAGAAGGCCUCGGUUGUAAGCGUCUUCGUCGAGGAGG